CACAUUUCUGAUUCCAUGGACUACGAACGCAUCCACAAGCCUUUGUCGCCUCGGGUAAUCUCUAAUCACUCGCCUUAUCUUUCUCUCUUUUCCUCUCUGAGCUCAAGGACUGCUAUCUGAGACUCCCAAACCUGAGCUCAAGGACUGCUAUCUGAGACUCCCAAACCAAACCUGCUACAUGGGUCCCCCGCCGCAUCGAUUUUGCUGCGGAACUUUUCGUCCCGUCGUGUUGCUUCCGCUCCGAUUCGUUGCCUUUUCUUGUAAUCAUUCGAGCUUGAAAUGACCAGAGAUGGAGUCUACCGUAAAGAUCACUUCUUGGGGGCUUGGAUGGGGAUUUCUUAUGGUUUUAGUUGGAUUUGUGGUUUAAAUUUGGUGUUUUGC
rnacentral:lncRNA from 1 species